rnacentral:rRNA from 1 species
AUUGAACGCUGGCGGCAUGCUUUACACAUGCAAGUCGAACGGUAACAGGCCGCAAGGUGCUGACGAGUGGCGAACGGGUGAGUAAUGCAUCGGAACGUGCCCAGUCGUGGGGGAUAACUACUCGAAAGAGUAGCUAAUACCACAUACGAUCUAUGGAUGAAAGCGGGGGACCGUAAGGCCUCGCGCGAUUGGAGCGGCCGAUGUCAGAUUAGGUAGUUGGUGGGGUAAAGGCUCACCAAGCCAACGAUCUGUAGCUGGUCUGAGAGGACGACCAGCCACACUGGGACUGAGACACGGCCCAGACUCCUACGGGAGGCAGCAGUGGGGAAUUUUGGACAAUGGGCGCAAGCCUGAUCCAGCAAUGCCGCGUGCAGGAAGGAGGCCUUCGGGUUGUAAACUGCUUUUGUACGGAACGAAACGGCUCUGGUUAAUACCCGGGGCUAAUGACGGUACCGUAAGAAUAAGCACCGGCUAACUACGUG